UACAGAGGGGGCAAGCGUUGUUCGGAAUUACUGGGCGUAAAGGGCGCGUAGGCGGCCCGCUAAGUCGAACGUGAAAUCCCCAGGCUCAACCUGGGAACUGCGUCCGAUACUGGCAGGCUUGAAUCCGGGAGAGGGAUGUGGAAUUCCAGGUGUAGCGGUGAAAUGCGUAGAUAUCUGGAGGAACACCGGUGGCGAAGGCGGCAUCCUGGACCGGUAUUGACGCUGAGGCGCGAAAGCCUG
rnacentral:rRNA from 1 species